rnacentral:lncRNA from 1 species
UGGAAUGCGAGGAUGCAAGCCGCUGCCAGCCUAAACCGAGCGCCGUCGGCUGUUGUGGUCUGGCGAAGAGCGGACGUCGUCUAGGACGAUCCCAGGUAAGAGCCGAAGGGAAUGAUUCCAUGUAGCAUUCGUUGUGUGCAGGAAAGAAAUCGGAAAAGAAGCACCUUGUUUCUUGUCGAUCUUUGAUUUCGUUCCUAAUCCUUCCCUCGUUCUUGGUAUUCUGAAGGCUAACGGCUCUGGAAGAUGGAAUUGAAGAUCUUCUGAGUUGAUGUCGCUCUCCUUUGGAUUUCUUUUCUGUCAAGAGUGUUGCAGGCACGGCGGCCUGGCCGGCGGCGUCGGAGUCCGUUGCGAUCCAGGGCCAUUGAGUUCGUGGAAUAGCCCUCGCCUCUGUGCGUGCGUAACUGCCGUCUCGGGCAUGGCCCUUUUCUUUCGCUGUACGCCGAUAGAAU